AUUAAAACAACGGUUCCUAUAUGAUCACUGAAGUUGAGCAACGUUGAGCCUGGUCAGUACCUAGAUGGGUAACUGCUUGGGGAUACCAGGUGCUGUAAG